rnacentral:tRNA from 1 species
GCCUGAGUGGUUCAGUCGGUUAAACAUCUCACUUCAGCUCAGAUCAUGAGCUCACAAUUUGUGGGUUCAAGCCCCAUGUCAGGCU